GGAACGGAGCUAGGACAGCGUUAGGAACGGGGUUAGGAACAGUGUUAGGAACAGAGUUAGGAACAGCGUUAGGAACAGUAUUAGGAACGGAGCUAGGAACAGUGUUAGGAAUGGAGUUAGGAACAGCAUUAGGAACAGCGUUAGGAACGGAGUUAGGAAACAGAGUUAGGAAUGGAGUAGAACACGGUAGGAACGGAGUUAGGAACAGCGUUAGGAACGGAGUUAGGAACGGAGUUAGGAACAGAGUUAGGAACAGGGUAAUGGAACAGCAUUAGGAAUGGAGUUAGGA
rnacentral:lncRNA from 1 species